GCCCCUGUAGCUUAAUUGGAUAGAGCGCAUCGCUUCGGACGAUGAGGUUGGAGGUUCAAUUCCUCCCAGGGGCG
rnacentral:tRNA from 1 species